rnacentral:lncRNA from 1 species
UGCAUGUAGAUUUAAUGGGCUUAUCUUUUAAAAAGUAUGUAUUAUAUGAUAUAGAAUCUGUGAUGAAUUCAUAAUUUCACCUGUUAUGUUUCUUGGGACUUGCUCAAAAAUGUAUGAAGACAAAAAUAUUUUCAUACCUUUAGGAUGUUUCCAGGCCCAUUCCAGAAGAACUUAAAGUUCUGCUGAGGGGUUUUUAGAUUUGUGAAGAUAUUUUUGUAUCUUAUAUUCAGUGAGUUUUACAGUGAUACUGUCUUCAUCAAUUCUGAUUUUAUUAUGUUUUUUAGUUGCUAGUUUACAAUACCAAAUAAAUAAAAUGCUAAUUUCCACCUCAGAAAACACAGUUCCUGAGAAUCAUCAUAUUAAACAUUGACCAAUGAUUGAUCAUACAGAAAUAAUGAUAAAUAGAUGAAUAAAAGGAUUAACAUAAGUGAAUUUUAAUAAGCACAUCUUCAUUACCCUAUAAUAGACAUUUUUCGGUAUAAGUAGAUUGAAUAGAUUGGCACCUGAAAAUCCGUGUAUCCAAAAAUAACUAUAGCUGAACCACUGAAAAAAUAUAUUGAAAUCCUCUGCCCUAGUCUCUGUAAUAAGAUAUUUUAAUUGUCCAAAAUCUAAUAGAAUUGCUUCAGGCUUCGGGUUUGAAUUUUCAAUGCACUGUCUAAAAGAACUUCAAGACUAAAAUGUAGCACAUUAGUUUUUCGAAAACAUUGUGAUUGAGCACAUUAACUCUGGUGAGUACUGCUGAAGAAAAAAGAAAUGGGUAGAGGAAUUAAGAGAAACAUAAAUGUUUUAGGUAAAAAAAAUUACUUAAGGGAAGUCAUUACAGCACUGAAUUCCGUUCUGGAAUUUUGAACUGAAUACAAGCAAAAUACAUUUAUACUCCGUGGAGUUAUUUAUCAAUAAUUAAUGAAAUUAUUGAUGUGUUUUAGUCUGUUCGGGUGGCCAUAACAAAAUACCAUGGAGUAGGAGUUUAAACAACAGAAAUUUGUCCACAGUUAAGGAGGAUGGGAAGUCCAAGGCCAGGGUGCCAGCAGAUCUGAUUUCUCGUUGCGGACUCUCUUCCUGACCUGCAGACAACCACCUUCUCUCUCAGUCCACACAAGCGCAUGUGAGCACGAAAGAGAGAGAGAGGCAGAGGGAGAGAGAGAAGAAGCAAGCUUUGUGGUAUCUCUCUUUUUUUUUUUUUUUUUUUUUGGUUCCCAUAUCAAUUUUUUUUAAGAUUUUUAUUUUUUCUAUUGUAGUUGAUUUACAGAUAAUUGGGUUUUGAUGAGACUAAGCCUAUCAUGAGGACCCAUCCAUCCUCAUGACUUCAUCAAAACCCAGUUGUCUCUCAAAAGCAUCACAGUAGGGCUCAGGGCUUCAGUAUGAAUGGGGCAGGGAGGGGGGAGAGGACGCAAUUCAGUCGUAACAAUUGGCUUAAAAGAGUAAGUAUAUAACAUUGAAAGGUGUUAAACUUACAUAAAUUUAUUUCCACUGAUAAGUAGUCUUUUGAUAUUUGAAAAUUUUACAAUUGCCUUCUUGAAGAAGACAAAAAAUGGCAUGGUCUGGAGUUCCCAUUGUGGCUCAGUGGUUAACGAAUCCAACUAAGAACCAUGAGGUUGUGAGUUCAAUCCCUGGCCUUCCUCAGUGGGUUAAGGAUGUGGUGUUGCCAUGAGCUGUGGUAUAGGUCGGAGACACGGCCCAGAUCCCGCAUUGCUGUGGCUCUGGCAUAGGCCGGUGGCUACAGCUUGGAUUAGCCCCUAGCCUGGGAACCUCCAUAUGCCGUGGGUGCAGCCCAAGAAAAUACAAAAAUACAAAAAAAAAGGCAUGGUCAGUUUUUUCACACUGUAAAUCUAGUUAUCUAAGUAAAUAGGUACUUUUUGUCUGUAUUGUUCAUUAUUAUAAAGGAUAAACAGAUUAUAUUUCAUUAUAGGUCACAAUACUAAUAUAAAGACUAACUCAGAUAUAUUUUUCCUUCUCCAUUAAACACAUAUUUAAUUCCUCAUUUCCUUUCUCCUUUUUUUGGAUCCCCUGUUUACAAUUUCAAUUAUCAAAUAUAUUUUAUGAUUCCUAACAUUUACAAAAAGAUGAAAGAAGUAGAAAAUAAACUGAGAAGAUAGAACACUUAAUUUAAAAUCGGGGUAGGAAACCAAAGAAUUCUGAAUUUGAAACCAUUGUUUAAAUCUCUAAGUACAGAAAAAAAAUUUUUAAAUAUGCAAUGAUAUUACAAAUUAGUGACUGGAAUCAAUGAAAUGUUAAUAAGGUUAAAAUUAUUCAGAUAAAGUUUCUUUUAAAACCUUUUAAAUUGUACUCAGAAAAUUUCUCCCAUUACUACAAGUAAUGUACAUUAAUAUAAAACCUUUUCUCUCUCUUGGAAAAAAUUAAAAGACUUUGAUAAGGCAUAAUUUGCCUUCUGAUAUAGAAACAAGAAGCCUGGAAUUUCUCUGAUUAUAUACUUAAUGGUAUCAAUAUAUUGUUCACUAAUAGUUAAAUUAUCACCAUGGGUCAAAUUUGGUCUUCUAGCUGUUUUUAUAAACAAAAUAUUAUUGGAAUAUAGCCACACCCCCUUAUUUAAGUACUGCCUAUGGUUGCUUUCAAGCUGGAACAGGAUUUAGUACUUGUAACAGACCUUCUGGCCCUAAAAUAUUUGCUCCCUGCCACAAAAAGCUUAUUGACAUCUUGCUCUAUACUAAUAAAAUGCUAGCUUAUGCAGAGAACAGAUCUCCUCUAUUUUUUCCAUCAAGCAUAGUUGAAUUGGAAAGAAUGCUUACAUAUUUUUCCUUUUUUCAUAUUGCUAAUGCAUUUUUCCUUUUACAUUGUUUUUACGGAUUCAGGUAAUCAUCUCUGCAGUUGCUUCAUGUAACACUUUACCUUUGAUGGAGAUCUGCUGCCUCUUACCUCUGGAAAUUCCGUAAUUUUAAUGUCAAAAUUUGGGGAUUUAGAGUAACUUCUGGUAGAAGGCCUUAAAAUUCUGGUCUAGUAAUAUGUAUUCCUUGACAUCUGGGAAAAUCCAGGACAGUUUCUAAUGGCUUAACCACACGUUCCCCACCCUCCUUCCUUAACCAAACAAAUGGCCCUCCCUAUUACAGGGACCAGGCACAGUUCCUGAUUGACCCUGGAUAGGAAGCUUCAACCCCAGCCAGCCUCUGGAAUUAGUCAAUCACACCAAUUUCAUCCUCUUGUAGGAACUGAGAGCCACCUCCCCGUCUUGAUACUACGAAGCCUGCCUCCCAUAGGCCAUGUCAUUCGCUCUGAUUCCAGGUGCAGCCCUGUGUGGUCUCUCCAUCCCAAGCUGUGAGUCUGUGUAUCUAAUCUACUACUAUAGGUCUCAUCUGUCUAGUGACAACCAACCUCAUAACCCUAGGAUGGGACUCUCCCUUCAUCAGUGGGGUGAAGAGGAGGUGAUUAAAACACAUCCCCAUACCAUUCUUUGCAACAUUUUCAACUUUCAAGCCUCCAGAAGUUGGAUAACAUAUACGUAUUCUUUCUCGUUUUAGUAAUCUGUUUUAUCAAAAUUUCAGCAAAAUUCACAACAUUUUGCUCAGGUCUCUUUCAUAAGAGUCCUCUUUAUAGCACUUAAAAAGUAUUUUUAAUGCCCAAAGUCACUAAGCAAACACUGGCAAAAUAACUGUAAUCUAGAUCUUCCAGUGUAUCUCCCCUGUCACAUUUUGAAAAUUUUAAUUUCAGAACAAACCAUUCUUAUCUACACGCCUUUGCAUCUAAGAGACUGGUUUACAUUUGUAAGAAAAUUCUGCUGAGAAAAAUAAAGCAGCGUUAUUUUCUUAACAGUGGUAGUUGAGUUUCAGUGUAUACUUUUGGUGAUAUCUAUAUUAGCAUGCUCUUAAUUUUGAACUCUGAAAAAGAUAAUUUGGUUUUCACAGUAUCAUCCAAGACCACUGCUGCGGUCAUGUCAGCUUGAAGUUUACUUAAGUGUUUCUGAAUAUGAAUGCCAUGGAAGCAUUCUAGAGGCUGCUUUGAUUUCUGACAGUGUGGAUAAAGUAGAAAAAGAGGGGUGUAGGACCAGGGAAGAAACUUGGCAGAGGAUGUAUUUUCCAUAAUCUCUCUUUUCAAUAUUGGAGAAGUAAAUAUGCAAAGAAUUCAGAUAAUGGGGAAAUUGCACAUUCUAAAAUAAUGAACUUUGGCUGCCUUUGGAAAGAACUUUCUUAAAAAAAUAUAUAUAAUUUAAGAUGGUAACAAAAAAAACUUAGACAAUGACUACGUCAAUGCAAAUGCCAAGGCAUGCUAGCUGGAACAUAGCAGUGAUGAGGUGAGGCUCUGAGAAAAGGAGACCCACUGGGUAAGGAGACAUUAGGUAACAAUGGCUUCUGGGAGGGACAGAGAGCAUUCAAAGCUUCUUUGUGCCUGCAUGGAGGGCAAGGAGGUUGGCUGAACUGAAGAAGUGUUUAAUUCAAACAAGGAGCUGUAGCAAUGGAUGUUGUGUGAACUACACCAGCAGAGCAUGUAUAAAAAUUGAAUAUUUCAGCAGACACCAGUGUUUAAAUGAAUGAUUCUAAGGACAGGAUGUGGCAAAGCACAUGGAUGCAAAUUUGGACAGACAAGGAAGACCAAGGAUGAAAUAAUAUUUCAACCAUCCUCACUCCCAUUAUCAUGAGUCUAGAAAACAUACUAGGAAGAAGCCAGUAGGGGUCGAGAGAAGUGGGGAUAGGAUUGGACAAUUCUAGAAAGAAGAGGGAGCUUGAAAUUAAGACAUUCCUGAAUGAGCAAGAAAUAAAUUUCUUGGAGUUCCCAUCAUGGUGCAGUGGAAACAAAUCUGACUAGUAUCCAUGAGGACACAGGUUCGAUCCCUGGUCCUGCUCAGUGGAUUAAGGAUAAGGCAUUGCCGUGAGCUGUGGUGUAAGUCACAGACAUGGCUCAGAUCUGGCAUUGCUGUGGCUGUGGCAUGAUUUGAUCCCUAGCCUGGGAACUUU